rnacentral:rRNA from 1 species
GAGUUUGAUCCUGGCUCAGGAUGAACGCUGGCGGCGUGCCUAACACAUGCAAGUCGAACGAAGCGACUGGAGGAAGUUUUCGGAUGGAAUCCGGUUGACUGAGUGGCGGACGGGUGAGUAACGCGUGGAUAACCUGCCUCACACUGGGGGAUAACAGUUAGAAAUGGCUGCUAAUACCGCAUAAGCGCACAGUACCGCAUGGUACGGUGUGAAAAACCCAGGUGGUGUGAGAUGGAUCCGCGUCUGAUUAGCCAGUUGGCGGGGUAACGGCCCACCAAAGCGACGAUCAGUAGCCGACCUGAGAGGGUGACCGGCCACAUUGGGACUGAGACACGGCCCAAACUCCUACGGGAGGCAGCAGUGGGGAAUAUUGCACAAUGGGCGGAAGCCUGAUGCAGCGACGCCGCGUGAGUGAAGAAGUAUCUCGGUAUGUAAAGCUCUAUCAGCAGGGAAGAAAAUGACGGUACCUGACUAAGAAGCCCCGGCU